GUCCUUAUAGUAUAAUCAAUUACCCUGACCUUGUAAAUCAGAAAUGAGCCAAACGGCCCUAAGGACA
rnacentral:tRNA from 1 species